rnacentral:rRNA from 1 species
AUGAACGCUAGCGACAGGCCUAACACAUGCAAGUCAGGGGCAGCACAAGGAGCAAUCUGAGGUGGCGACCGGCGCACGGGUGAGUAACACGUAUGCAACCUGCCUGUAAGCGGGGAAUAACCCGUUGAAAGACGGACUAAUACCGCAUAAUACUAAAUUACUGCAUGGUAAUUUAUUUAAACAUUUAUGGCUUACAGAUGGGCAUGCGCAUGAUUAGCUAGUUGGAGAGGUAACGGCUCCCCAAGGCAACGAUCAUUAGGGGUUCUGAGAGGAAGGUCCCCCACACUGGUACUGAGACACGGACCAGACUCCUACGGGAGGCAGCAGUGAGGAAUAUUGGUCAAUGGACGAGAGCCUGAACCAGCCAAGUCGCGUGCAGGAAGAAUGUCCUAAUGGAUUGUAAACUGCUUUUGCAGGGGGAAUAAAGUGCAUCACGUGUGAUGUUUUGUAUGUACUCUGCGAAUAAGGAUCGGCUAACUCCGUGCCAGCAGCCGC